rnacentral:lncRNA from 1 species
AGAUAAGAGUGGAGCUAUGUAGAAUAGAUAUUAAUUCAUUUUUUAAAGAUAUUGGUAAAAUAUAUUAAUAGUCCAUAUAAUAGAAAAUUCAGGAGGACAGAUGAGUGAUUUAGUUAUUAAAAGCAGUUAAUUAUAAAAUUACAGUUAGAAUCUGGAGAAUCAGGGAAAAGUAUAUAGGAGUUGUAGAAGUUAAUUGAGGUACCAUCGCUGUGAUAUUGUGAGCCAGGGUAAGCUUGGUGCUACCUCUUUUCUUUUGUUUGUUAUUUUCUUUGAAUAAGAGGAUUGAAAGUUUCUGAAUAUUAUGAAGUAAAUUAUGGAAUGGAAAUGUGAUUGGUAUUAUUUGAAAAGAAGAA